GAUGAACGCUGGCGGCGUGCCUAAUACAUGCAAGUAGAACGCACAGUUUAUACCGUAGCUUGCUACACCAUACACUGUGAGUUGCGAACGAGUGAGUAACGCGUAGGUAACCUGCCUGGUAGCGGGGGAUAACUAUUGGAAACGAUAGCUAAUACCGCAUAAUAUUGAUUAUUGCAUGAUAAUUGAUUGAAUGAUGCUAUUUCAUCACUACCAGCUGGACCUGCGUUGUAUUAGCUAGUAGGUGAGGUAACGGCUCAACUAGGCGACGAUACAUAGCCGACAUGAGAGGGUGAGCGGCCACACUGGGAAUGAGACACGGGCCAGACUCCUACAGGAGGCAGCAGUAGGGAAUCUUCGGCAAUGGACGAAAGUCUGACCGAGCAACGUAGAGGGAGUGAAGAAGGUUUUCGGAUCGUAAAGCUCUGUUGUAAGAGAAGAACGGGUGUGAGGGUGGAAAGUUCACACUGUGACGGUAUCUUACCAGAAAGGGACGGCUAACUACGUG
rnacentral:rRNA from 1 species